CAAUGAAGUUGUGCGUGUUGUACGUCGAAAAUGAAUAGAAUUUGAUAACGACUUUAUACAAGAAAUGAAUAUUUGGUACAACGUUUCGAGCAUAACUCUUCAUCAGGUAAAAAGAAUAGAACGAGAAACGGCUAGAAGAGUAGAAUCUAAAUAUAAACUAUAUGGAACGUAGUAGGAAUACGAUGUAAAACGUAAGACAAGAUGGAAAUAUGUCAGGGGGUGGAAAGCGUAUAGAUAAGAUAAAGUAAACAUUAAUAAUAGCUGGAUUAGGAAAGAAACGAAAAUUGUUUAUUAAGAUCAUUAGGAAUAAGAGUACCAAGAUUAAAAAUAAUGCGUUUUUCGAGGGUUUUGCAUUUAGUGUUGUUAUGAGGUGGGUAGCAAAGUCCAGUGAUUUUCAUGUUGGCUGGUGUAUGGCCAUCUUGGUUGAGAUGAAUUGAGACUGUGGUAUUUAGGUCCUCUCUUCUUGAUUCUUGAAGGUAUAUUUUCUUCUCUACAUUGCGGAGAUGCUCACCAAAACGGGUAUUUAUCUGACGGGACGUCUCCCAAAUGUAGUGAAGGUCGCAUUUGGUGCAACUGAUACAGUAAAUAAGGCAGGAAGUUCUGCAUGUGAAAUGUUUCUUUAUAUGGAAGUAGCUGUUGUGGUUGCUAAUCGCGGUUGAGGUGUGAACCUGGGAGCAUUGUCCACCAGAGGUCUGGAGGUAUGCUUCAUUAUUGAAGUUGAAUGCGUUUGUUGUAAGAACAAGUUCAGCGAGGCGAAUGAGGGUGUCAGUAGGUGGAUCUUGAUGAGUGCAUUUGCAAAGAAAGUGCUUGAGAGCAAGUAAGCCGUCUUUGAGUGGAAUGAUGGUGUAAAGUGAUUUUAUAUCCAUGGUAAAAAGAAAACGGUGUGAAUCAGAAAUCUUUAGAACACGAAGAGCUGCUGAUCCAGAGCGCGGUCUUGACCUGGUGGUGGUGUCCAUGUUGACUUUGUUGGGAAAAGGUUGUCAAUGACGUUGGCAGCAGAUGCUGAUGGGUCCGCUGGAUCAUCGUCAGACGAUUUGUUAUGAAAAUGGGCUUUUAACCGAAGACGUCGAAAAAAAACCUCUGCAUUGUGAUAUAUUGAAAUUCGUCAAUGGAGUUUCCUUUUAGGGAUAAAUUUGAGGCCUUUGUUUAGAACGGAGCGUUCUUCAGUAAAUAGUGACAGGUCUUCUGAUAUUGUGAAUAUUAUAUUCCUUGGCUCCGACUCUUGAGGAGUAGCUCUGAAUGGUCGAUGAUUAAGAACAAGUUGGCUAAAUUUGUGAUUUUUUAGAUCUUUAAGGAAUGAGAUAAGAAUCCAGUUUCACGCGGUAGGUAAUAAUAAAAAGAGUGUAGAGUGUAGUGUAAAGAAGGUAGUGUUAAAAACUUUCGCACAACCGGCAUGCUUAGCGGCAGUUGUUUUGAUAAAUUGACUGUGUUUUGUAUUUUCAUGCAGUACGAUAUUAGGCCGGUCUUUGAAUUAUGAUCGCAAAGCGUGCCGGUUGCGCAAGAGCCUUUAAUCUAAGAUAUACAUGCAAUAUGAGAUUCUUUCGAUCGUUCCAAACAAUGAAAGUUCCAUCUAAAGAAGAACCUUGCAGAGAUUAUGUAGAGGACUAAGAUUGCCGGAAAUCAUUGAACAAGCCUCCUAGAGGACGUUUACUUUGAGACGUUUUUUGAUUGGUUCUAGUUCGAUGGGAAGCUUAAACGAGGGAGGUUGCUUGAAAAGAAUUUUCGAAGUCAUUUGAGAUGGCCUAAAAACAUGUAAUGCAAAAAUUGGCAAAUCAGGAUAGAGACUUUCUUAUGGGUGGGGUCUUACAAAAAAUGCACCUCCAGGUUGAGGAUUAAUUUGAGAGGCUAUAGGAUGGAGGUAACUGGGAACUUUGCAGUAGUAUUUUACAAAUUCAUCUUUGUGAGAUCAUAAAAAUACUUGCAACACAAGAGGAAAAACAAGAAGCAAAAGAGAACAAAGACUAGUUUGAUAAGAAGGCUUUCUUCUUAAAUAUUCUAAGCAUAUUUGAAGCUAAAUUGAGCAAAAAAUCGCAGCUUUUCUCGGCUUGAAACAAGGAGACUACUUAAAACAUUUUACUACAACCAUGGAUACUUUAGGAGACACCCCAAUUAAAAAAUAUACAAAAGUGGCAAGUAUUUUGGCAAAACAAGAUGAAAAGUUAACAACAGGUUUUCAACAAUGCGCGUUUUGACUAUAAUU